rfam:Dipodomys ordii contig_24040, whole genome shotgun sequence.
GGUGGCUCAGUGGUAGAGCACUUGCCUUGCAUGCACAAGGCCCUGGGUUCGAUUCCUCAGCACCA